rnacentral:rRNA from 1 species
CAACGCGAAGAACCUUACCAAGGCUUGACAUAUACGAGAACGGGCCAGAAAUGGUCAACUCUUUGGACACUCGUAAACAGGUGGUGCAUGGUUGUCGUCAGCUCGUGUCGUGAGAUGUUGGGUUAAGUCCCGCAACGAGCGCAACCCUCGUUCUAUGUUGCCAGCACGUAAUGGUGGGAACUCAUGGGAUACUGCCGGGGUCAACUCGGAGGAAGGUGGGGAUGACGUCAAAUCAUCAUGCCCCUUAUGUCUUGGGCUUCACGCAUGCUACAAUGGCCGGUACAAAGGGCUGCAAUACCGCGAGGUGGAGCGAAUCCCAAAAAGCCGGUCCCAGUUCGGAUUGAGGUCUGCAACUCGACCUCAUGAAGUCGGAGUCGCUAGUAAUCGCAGAUCA